rnacentral:lncRNA from 1 species
UCUCUCAAAACACACCUUUUAGUGCCAGCUCCUGAGUGUGAAUAUACAUGAUUGUAGUUAGAUGUCCCUGCAUUCUGACAAGUGAUUUGACUUGGGAGACAAGGGGUUAUUGUGGUCUCUUUGCUUUCCUAAACUGAUGUGUGUGGCCUUGGGGAGCAUAGGGAGUCUGGGGGGACAGGGCUCUUUUCUGCCACCUGGGACCUAGGAUUUAAUUGUGCCCCAUCCUCCCAUGAGAUAUAUAUCAGGAGGGAUAGAGAAAGCUUGGGGUAGGGGGCUCCUAGGCAGGUACCACAGGGUCCAUACUGGCAGCAUAUAAUAGGACUGGAACCACUUUUCUUUUCUAGGUCUCUGGCCAGUAUCGCUUCCACCUGUCCACAAACAUGGGGAAUAUCUUUGCAAACCUCUUCAAGGGCCUUUUUGGCAAAAAAGAAAUGCGCAUUCUCAUGGUGGGCCUGGAUGCUGCAGGGAAGACAACAAUUCUAUACAAACUGAAGCUGGGCGAAAUUGUGACCACCAUUCCCACCAUUGGUGAGAAGCUGGGCCAGGGUGGGGGUAGGGUGUGGGGAUCCAGAGUAUAGAGGGCCCUCAGCUACAACCCUGACCCCCAGGUUUCAACGUGGAGACUGUUGAAUACAAGAAUAUCAGCUUCACCGUGUGGGAUGUGGGUGGCCAGGACAAGAUUCGGCCGCUGUGGCGCCACUACUUCCAGAACACCCAAGGUAAAUGGCCAGUCCUUGUCCUAGAUUCCUCUUAAUGCCUCAAAGGGAUGCGCUUGGCUCACUGGUCUUUGCCAUUUCGGGCAUGAAGCUACACUAAACUUGGGUAGUGGGAGGAUUGGAUCUAGAGCCUGUGGGUUGAUCCUGUGGAGAGAGUACAGUAUAUGCAGUAAUGUGGCCAUGUUUCAGGCUUGAUCUUCGUAGUGGACAGCAAUGACAGAGAGCGUGUGAACGAGGCCCGUGAAGAGCUUAUGAGGAUGCUAGCUGAAGAUGAGCUCCGAGAUGCCGUUCUCUUGGUGUUUGCCAACAAGCAGGUAGGUACCAGCAAGGUCCUUCCCUGAAGGAAAACCUGUAUCAGGGAAGAGAGAGGAGGGGUAAAAGGCGGCCCACAGUGACUGGCUGCUUGUGGUCCCUGCCACUAAUUACUUCUUUCCUUCAGGACCUCCCCAAUGCCAUGAAUGCGGCCGAAAUCACAGACAAGCUGGGGCUGCACUCUCUACGCCACAGGAACUGGUACAUUCAGGCUACCUGUGCCACCAGCGGAGACGGGCUCUAUGAAGGACUAGAUUGGCUGUCUAAUCAGCUCCGGAACCAGAAGUGAACCAGACCCCUCCUUCCCCCUCACUUCCUCUUCUCCGCCCUCAGCUUUCCUCUCAUGUGGCAAACGUGCGACUCUGUGGUCCUGAGUGCCAGAAGCUGUCUCCAUGGGUUGGUCACAGUGUGCAUCGCACCGUGCUGUACAUGUGCAGACGCAGCCUGCAGCCAGGUUUUUAUUUAAUGUAAAUAGUUUCUGUUUCCACUGAGGCAGUUUCUGGUACUCCUAUGCAAUAUUACUUAGCUUUUUUAUUGUAAAAAGAGAAUCAACUCACUGUCAGUACUGAGAAGGGAUUUGGGUGUAGGGGCACCUGGCCUCCGGGAGCCAUUGGGCUGUAGACUGGUGUCGGUAUCCAUUUGGUGGUUGGUUUUUAACCCAAACUCAGUGCA